rnacentral:rRNA from 1 species
CCUACGGGUGGCAGCAGUGGGGAAUAUUGGACAAUGGGGGGAACCCUGAUCCAGCGACGCCGCGUGAGUGAAGAAGUAUUUCGGUAUGUAAAGCUCUAUCAGCAGGGAAGAAAGAAAUGACGGUACCUGACUAAGAAGCCCCGGCUAACUACGUGCCAGCAGCCGCGGUAAUACGUAGGGGGCAAGCGUUAUCCGGAUUUACUGGGUGAAAAGGGAGCGUAGACGGCGAUGCAAGUCUGAAGUGAAAGGCGGGGGCUCAAACCCCGGACUGCUUUGGAAACUGUAUGGCUGGAGUGCAGGAGAGGUAAGUGGAAUUCCUGGUGUAGCGGUGAAAUGCGUAGAUAUUAGGAGGAACACCAGUGGCGAAGGCGGCUUACUGGACUGUAACUGACGUUGAGGCUCGAAAGCGUGGGGAGCAAACAGGAUUAGAUACCCCAGUAGUC